GUGGGGAAUCUUCCGCAAUGGACGAAAGUCUGACGGAGCGACGCCGCGUGAGUGAAGAAGGCCUUCGGGUCGUAAAGCUCUGUCAUCAGGGACGAACGGCCGGUGGAGUGGAAAGCCACCGGAUUGACGGUACCUGAGAAGGAAGCCACGGCUAACUACGUGCCAGCAGCCGCGGUAAUACGUAGGUGGCAAGCGUUGUCCGGAAUUAUUGGGCCUAAAGCGCGCGCAGGUGGGAUCUUAAGUCCAUUUUUAAAGUUCGGAGCUCAACUCCGUGAUGGGAUGGAAACUGGGAUUCUUGAGUACCGGAGAGGAAAGCGGAAUUCCCCGUGUAGCGGUGAAAUGCGUAGAUAUGGGGAGGAACACCAGUGGCGAAGGCGGCUUUCUGGACGGUGUCUGACACUGAGGCGCGAAAGCCAGGGGAGCGAACGGGAUUAGAAACCCUAGUAGUCC
rnacentral:rRNA from 1 species